rnacentral:lncRNA from 1 species
AUUUUUUAAAAUUUUAUAGAAUAAUUUUUUUUAAAAUUUAUUUAACAGUAACAUAAUUAUUUUUAGUGUUAAAAUUAUUAAUUGAUAUAAGUUUAAAAAUAAAAAUAAUAUAAAAUAUAUGUUAAAAUUUUAAAAAUAAUUAGAUGUACAUGUAAAAAAAAAAAGUAACACAAACAAAUAGUGCAGAAAUAAUUUCCCUUUUAAAAUUCCUAAGAAUGACUAGUGUGAAGAGAGAACAAUUACAACACUAACAAAAGGAAAAGAACCGACAACUCUCUUAAAAAAAAAUUGAAAACUUUCUGUUCAAUAUUAGUUUCAAUUUCAUAUAUAUUAAAAAAAAAGAAUCUUUAGCAUCCUCCCUUAUUUUCAUAGCCGCUUUUGAACUACUAAACCCCAUCAACUGGCUGCUCACAUCCCUCGGGCGAAGCCGGCGCCAUCUUGGUGGUGGUAGUGUUGGUCGUCAUGGUUCGCCGGAGGAUGGUAGUAUAGGUGAGCUGUGUGUGAGAAUUAAAUCAACAGAAGAAGGUGAAGGAUUUGGUAGCGGCAGAAGAAGAAGUGAAGGAUUUGGCAGCGGCUGGAAUUGUGAUGUCUUGUGUGUGUGUGUGUGUGUGUGGCUAGGUAUGAUUAGGUUUAGAUGGAUUUUUUCUUUUAUAGCAACCCGAUCGGGUUGGUUAUUUGGUGCGGGUUUAACCCUAAUCAAAAUAUAACCCGAUCGGUUUUGAGAUUUGUGACUGAAUAGUUUUGAAGGUAACCCGAACUGAACCAAAAUCAAAAUAAUUUUUUGUUUCAAUUCGGUUCCGGUGGCCCAAGCUGGACAUCCACAUCACAUGCUUAUUUGGUAAAUGAUUACAGAUUACAUCUAAGACAACUGUUUAAUCAGUUGUAAAAUUACAACUAAUAAAAAUGAAUAACUAUCAUUGGUUGUGAAAUAUAUGAGGGUUGGAUGUAUAAAAUAAAGGGGUGGGCAUAUUUGCACCCACUAUUUUUGUUAAUUCACCUUGCUUCUAAAAUAUAAUUACAAUAAAUUCACAAUAUUUUUAGUAAAUACAAAUUAAUAAAAAUUUGUACAAUCAAUCAAUUAAAUCUUUCUAUUAAAUUUUUUCCUUAAGUUUCUUUGAUCAUAAACUUCAAUAAAAGUUUUAUUUUACAAUUUUGUUAUUAUGAUAUAAAACAACUGAAUUGUCUCAAUAAUUAUGAGUUAUUAUAUCUACUAAUUUAUAUAUUUAAUUUUGUGACUGAUAAUAUAAUAUUUUAAAAUGAAAUCUAAUUAUUAUUUUAACUACCUUUACGUGUAAAUGAUAUAAAUUGGACAGUCCAAUAAUUUACAUGAGUAUUAUGAUAUAAAACACUAUGUUACUUUAAUUAAAGACUAGUAAUCACUUCUCAAAAAAAAAAAGAAAAAAGACUAGUAAUCAAACUAAUGAAGUAGUAAUAUAAACAAUGAGUUUGGUAUAAAAUUGGAAAAAUAUUGAAGUUAACGUAAAUUCUUGGUAGUUUUACCUUAUAAGAGUAAAUGAUAAGUAUAUAAUACAUACAUAUUUUGUCCUUAAUUAUAUAGUUGUUAGUUAUUACUAUAUGUUAUUUUUAAUUUAUUUAUUUAUUUAUUUUAUUGAAUAGUAAAUUAAUUGGAGAUUAUCGAUUAAACCUUGCAUAACUUCUUAUUGUAUUUCCUAGAUAAUCUGCCUUUUCCCCGAAUUUGACUGAGGGCGAAAGGGUGGCUAAGAAUCGAUCUUCUUACUUGAUAGAAGGCAAGGCUGCAGCAGCUUAGAGAACUAUUUGUAUGGAUUUCACCUAUAAGGGAGGGAUGCCUGCAUGAAAAAGUUCAAUUUGGGAAGUCAUGAAGAUUAAAUUAGAAGAUAAAAAAAAGGCCAAUAAUUAAUGGAACCAAUAGCUUUGAGGAGAGCACGUACUGAGCAAUUAGACGUAGAAAGAAAUUGAUGGUAGAGAUGGCCAAUGGGCUUGGCAACACACAGCACGGCAUGACACGGCACAUGCAUGAUAAGUGUCUGUACAGCACGGCACAAGCACAUUUCGAUAGGGCAUGCGACGCAGUAAGGCACGCACGGGGGUUGGUCGAACUUAGAAUUUUAGGCACGCGGGCCUUAAAAGCCCAUCAUGAUUAGAGAUAGGCUAAAACAUGACACGUGAAAAAGCCUACAAAAUGCACGUUUCACUUUUUAAUGAAAGUAAACUUAAAAUUUUAUGAUUUUACAAAUAACUUGAAAUUGAAU